AGGGAAACCGAGUCUUAAUUGGGCGUUAAGUUGCAGGGUAUAGACCCGAAACCCGGUGAUCUAGCCAUGGGCAGGUUGAAGGUUGGGUAACACUAACUGGAGGACCGAACCGACUAAUGUUGAAAAAUUAGCGGAUGACCUGUGGCUGGGGGUGAAAGGCCAAUCAAACCGGGAGAUAGCUGGUUCUCCCCGAAAGCUAUUUAGGUAGCGCCUCGUGAAUUCAUCUCCGGGGGUAGAGCACUGUUUCGGCUAGGGGGCCAUCCCGGCUUACCAACCCGAUGCAAACUGCGAAUACCGGAGAAUGUUAUCACGGGAGACACACGGCGGGUGCUAACGUCCGUCGUGAAGAGGGAAACAACCCAGACCGCCAGCUAAGGUCCCAAAGUCAUGGUUAAGUGGGAAACGAUGUGGGAAGGCCCAGACAGCCAGGAUGUUGGCUUAGAAGCAGCCAUCAUUUAAAGAAAGCGUAAUAGCUCACUGGUCGAGUCGGCCUGCGCGGAAGAUGUAACGGGGCUAAACCAUGCACCGAAGCUGCGGCAGCGACGCUUAUGCGUUGUUGGGUAGGGGAGCGUUCUGUAAGCCUGUGAAGGUGUGUCGUGAGGCAUGCUGGAGGUAUCAGAAGUGCGAAUGCUGACAUAAGUAACGAUAAAGCGGGUGAAAAGCCCGCUCGCCGGAAGACCAAGGGUUCCUGUCCAACGUUAAUCGGGGCAGGGUGAGUCGACCCCUAAGGCGAGGCCGA
rnacentral:rRNA from 1 species